CCUACGGGAGGCAGCAGUGGGGAAUAUUGCACAAUGGGGGAAACCCUGAUGCAGCAACGCCGCGUGGAGGAUGACGCAUUUCGGUGUGUAAACUCCUUUUAUAUGGGAAGAUAAUGACGGUACCAUAUGAAUAAGCACCGGCUAACUCCGU
rnacentral:rRNA from 1 species